rnacentral:rRNA from 1 species
UAGCCAGACUCCUACGGGAGGCAGCAGUGAGGAAUAUUGGUCAAUGGGCGCAAGCCUGAACCAGCCAAGUCGCGUGAGGGAUGACGGUCCUAUGGAUUGUAAACCUCUUUUGUCGGGGAGCAAGGCCCGCCACGUGUGGCGGGAAGGAGAGUACCCGAAGAAAAAGCAUCGGCUAACUCCGUGCCAGCAGCCGCGGUAAUACGGAGGAUGCGAGCGUUAUCCGGAUUUAUUGGGUUUAAAGGGUGCGCAGGCGGCGCGGCAAGCCGGCGGUCAAAUCGCGGGGCUCAACCCCGCCCAGCCGUCGGAACUGCCGGGCUAGAGUGGGCGAGAAGUGCGCGGAAUGCGUGGCGUAGCGGUGAAAUGCAUAGAUAUCACGCGGAACUCCGAUUGCGAAGGCAGCAUACCGGCGCCCGACUGACGCUCAGGCACGAAAGCGUGGGUAUCGAACAGGAUUAGAUACCCUGGUAGCA